UGGCCUGGUCGGAGGAUCACCGGGUGUCGGUGAGCACGGCCCGCAGCAUCGCCGUCCUGGAGCAGCUCAGCGACAUCCGCAGCGGCGGGCAGGAGAUGGUCAUUCACCGCACCGCCGUGCCCGCCCCCGCCGCCGCCUGCCUCCUCAAGGUGGGUCCGAAAAAGGAGGUAGCAGAAUGCAAGGAGAAGUUUGCGAGUUCCCUGGACCCAACAGUUAGUCAGACUUUCAUGCUGGACCGAGUGUUCAACCCCGAGGGGAAGUCCUUGCCCCCUCUACGGGGAUUCAAAUAUUCCAGCUGGUCCCCCCUGGGCUGUGAUGCCAACGGGAGGUGCCUGCUGGCAGCUCUGACCAUGGACAACCGCCUGACCAUCCACGCCAACCUCAACAGGCUGCAGUGGGUGCAGCUGGUGGACCUGACGGAGAUCUACGGGGAGCGCUUGUACGAAGCCAGUUACAAGCUUUCCAAAGCUGACACUCCCAAGGGAGAGCUGGGAGACUUCUCGGAAUUCCAGCGGCGCCACAGCAUGCAGACCCCGGUGCGCAUGGAGUGGUCGGGCAUCUGCACCACCCAGCAGGUCAAGCACAACAACGAGUGCUGGGACGUGGGCAGCGUGCUCCUGGCAGUGCUCUUUGAAAACGGGAACAUUGCGGUUUGGCAGUUCCAGCUUCCGUUCCUGGGGAAGGAAUCCAUCACUUCUUGCAAUAACAUCGAGUCCGGAAUCAAUUCCCCCAGCGUGUUGGCUUGGUGGGAGUAUGAGCAUAACAACCGGAAGAUGAGCGGACUCAUUGUAGGCAGUGCUUUUGGGCCAGUGAAGAUCCUUCCUGUCAACCUCAAAGCAGUCAAAGGCUACUUCACCCUGAGACAACCCGUAGUCUUAUGGCAAGAAAUGGACCAGUUACCAGUGCACAGUAUUAAGUGCAUUCCUCUUUACCACCCUUACCAGAAGUGCAGUUGUAGCUUAGUGGUGGCUGCAAGAGGACCUUACGUGCUUUGGUGCCUCCUGUUGAUAUCCAAGGCAGGCCUGAACAUCCACAAUUCCCACGUGACAGGGCUUCAUUCUUUGCCCAUCGUAUCCAUGACCGCGGACAAGCAGAACGGCACGGUCUACACCUGCUCCGGCGAUGGGAAGGUGAGGCAGCUCAUCCCUAUCUUCACAGACGUUGCUUUGAAGUUUGAGCACCAGCUGCUCAAGCUCUCGGAGGUCUUUGGCUCUGUCAGGACUCACGGAAUCGCUGUCAGCCCCUGCGGGGCCUACUUGGCAGUGAUCACCACAGAGGGCAUGACUAACGGGCUGCACCCAGUUAACAAAAACUACCAAGUUCAGUUUGUAACCCUGAAGACUUUUGAGGAGGCAGCUGCUCAGCUCUUGGAAUCUUCUGUUCAAAACCUUUUCCGGCAAGUGGACUUGACGGAUCUUGUGCGCUGGAAAAUUUUGAAGGAUAAGCAUAUUCCUCAGUUCUUACAGGAAGCACUGGAUAAAAAGAUUGAGAGCUGUGGCUCUACUUACUUCUGGAGGUUUAAGCUGUUUCUCCUGAGGAUUUUGUACCAGUCGAUGCAGAAGGCUCCCUCAGAGGUCACGUGGAGGCCUUCACACGAGGAUGCAAAAAUCUUGAUCUCGGACUCCCCUGGGAUGGGCAGCACUGAGGAUGAUCAAGAGGAAGGAACUUCUAAACAAGCCAGCAAGCAGAGCCUCUGUGAGGCAGGCAAAGGUAUGGACAUAGAUGACACUGCAGAGGAGUCUCUUCCUCAGUCGAGUGACGUAGGAGGCCGCGAGCCAAUGGAAGAAAAGCUGCUUGAAAUACAGGCACAGAUUGAGGCAGUAGAGAUGCACUUGACACGAGAACACAUGAAACGGGUGUUGGGAGAAGUUUACCUACACACAUGGAUUACAGAAAACACCAGUAUCCCCACCAGAGGAGUCUGUGACUUCUUAAUGUCCGAUGAUGGCUAUGAUGACAGAACAGCACGAGUGCUGAUUGGACAUAUCUUAAAGAAAAUGAACAAACAGACUUUCCCAGAGCACUGCAGCUUGUGUAAAGAGAUCCUGCCGUUCACUGACCGCAAACAGGCGGUCUGCUCCAACGGACACAUUUGGCUCAGGUGCUUUCUAACCUACCAGUCCUGUCAGAGCUUGGUGUACAGGAGGUGUUUGCUUCACGACAGCAUUGCAAGGCAUCCCACCCCAGAAGAUCCUGAAUGGAUCAAGAGGUUAUUGCAAGGACCUUGCACGUUCUGUGAUUCUCCUGUGUUCUAGAAAAUAAACUAUGUAAAGCUUGAAAGUAUUUUCCCUACUGCAUUAAGCUCCCUUCAGUCUGGAAGGACACAGAGCACAGGAAUACAGAUUUACUGGAGGGGGGAGACAUUGUCCACAGCCCUGUAAAUAGAACAUCAGAGGUCCUAGCAACUCCUGAAGUCCAGAGCCUGUUCCAUGCUCCAGAAGCAGGAGUGCACCUGGAAAAGUGAGUUUCUGAAGUGGUUUGGAAGUGCACCCCAUGGGAACAUCAGCAUCUGGACACACUCCCUUGUACUGGAAAGGAACUGGAGUCUUCAGCCCAUGGUGUGAACUGUCCUUCCUGCCCCACAACUGUGCAGAUCCCCAGUGGGAACAGUGGAGCUGCCUCGGGAAUGGCCUUGGUCUGGAAUCAGAGAGAAGAGGAAGAGAUCCCACCACUGCUCCUCUGAGUCCUCACCACACAGCAGGUCUGGGUUAAUCACAGAAUCAGUUGGAAAAGACCUUUAAGAUCAUCAAAUCCAACUCUACUGAGUCCAGUGCUUAAACCAUGUCCCUCAGCACCACGUCUACAUGGCUUCUAAACACCUCCAGGGAUGGUGAUUCAACCACCUCCCUGGGCAGCCUGUGCCAGUGUUUACCCUUUCAGUGAAGAAGUUACUUGUAAUAUCUAAUCUAGACCUCCCCUGGCCCAACUUGAGCCUACUUCCUCUUGUCUCAUCCCCCUCCUGUGUUCCCUUUGGAAGCUCUCUGCAAGCACAGAGAUGACUCCAGUUACACUUCAGACUUACACUGACACGGGCAGGGUUUGUUCUUUAACCAGCCCUGGUACAAACAUCUGUGUGGAGGUGCCUGCUGGUUUACAGCUCUGCCAGCAAGUACCAGGCUGGGAAGCUGCUUUUUCCUCUCCAUGUGGAUAAACAAGGACAACUGGCUUUGUUCAUCUGGAGUCCUGUCCUACCUGUUAAAGGUGCAGGAAUCUCAGCAAGAUGGAAUCAAGCCUCCUCUUGGGAGUCUCAAUCCAGGAUGUUUUUUCACAACAUGUGGAGGUCCACGUGUCUGCAGCAAUAUCCACAGAGCCCCACCUGCCACUUCCAACCAAGGGCAGCCUUCUAUACAAACUCCCACUUACAUUUAUGUGCUGUACUCAGUUCCAACUCAUACUUGACACUGGAAGCUGGAGUUCCAGGGCUGUGCCAGCCCUGCAGCCUCCUCAUUUAACACCAAACUAGGAAGCCAGCCCUGAAAAGGGGAAACCCGAGAGUCAUCCAAACAAAACUGUUUGGGAGAGUUUCAUUUAAUAGCUCCACUAAUCUAGUCAAUCUCUUCCUGCUACUUUAAUCCUACCCAGGGGUAGGAGCCCUGCAGCUGGCUGAGCACACGGACUGCCAGGCUGGAGGAAAAGCAAAGGUGAAUUUUAAUCUUUAGUUUCUGGAUUUUUAAAUUUUUUUUUCCCUUUGAGACUCAGUUCAUGGAAGGAUCUGACAAAGUUGCUGUGAAUAUUGAUGCUGUGUAUAUGGCCUAUUUUGUAAACAAAAUGUGAAGCAAACCUGGAUGAAUGUUUUGUAUCCUGUGACAGUGCAUUGUAACCCUGCUCCUUUUUUUAUUCUAAAUAAAUACAUCAAGUACUUGUUUGUAAUGUCUGCGUUUUAAGGGACUGAAUUCCUGGGAGGGACAUGGGGUGCCAAGAACUGAGACUGGCUAGAAAGAGCAGUGUAGUUAAGCACUUAGUCCUUCAGCAUAAGGCUUGACACUUAGAAGAACCCCAAGACUUAAUAAUAAAAAUGGCACCAUGGCCACUGUUCACAGAACACUGGUGGUAAAGCCUGGGAGAGGACACAGGGACAGAACCUUCUUCUCACCAGCACAGGUUCAACCCCUCUUUUCCCCAGCCUCCCAAACAGCUGCCUGGCACCACUCCAGCUCCAUACAUAAUUCCACUAAAGAAUCAACAGUGUUUGCUGAAAGGGGCCUGACAUGACCUCUCCUUUUCCUCCAUGGAAUCAAGCAGUUCUUGUUGCAGAAAGAGGAGGCUUGUCCAGGAAAGCCUGCUCAUACGGGGGACUGGAGCAAUUUCAGGACACAUGACAAGGCAAGAGCCACCUUUCAGGUUCAGUUUUGGCAUCUGCAACACAGAUGGGCACUGACAGGGUCAUAACCACAGUUUGCUCCCACUGAAGGUCAACUCAGCUCCAGCUGCCCCUCUGGGAAGCAGAAAUGAAGCACAGGAACCUGCCAA